rnacentral:rRNA from 1 species
UACGUAGGGUGCGAGCGUUGUCCGGAAUUAUUGGGCGUAAAGAGCUUGUAGGUGGUUUGUCGCGUCUGCUGUGAAAAUCCGAGGCUCAACCUCGGACUUGCAGUGGGUACGGGCAGACUAGAGUGUGGUAGGGGAGACUGGAAUUCCUGGUGUAGCAGUGAAAUGCGUAGAUAUCAGGAGGAAAACCGAUGGCGAAGGCAGGUCUCUGGGCUAGAACUGACGCUCAUGCACGAAAGCGUGGGGAGCGAACAGG